rnacentral:miRNA from 14 species
CCACGAGCCUCACGACCACGGC